UAAAAUUAAAAAAUUUGGCGGUAUUUUAAUCUUUUCAGAUGAACCUGUUCUAUAAUUGAUAAUCCACGAUUUAUUUUACUUAUUUUAUAUAAAUUUAUAUAUCGUCGUAGUUUGAAUAUUUUUAAAGAAUGCUUAAUAUUCAAAAAUUUAAAUUAUAAUAAAAAUCAGAUCAAGGUGUAGUUUAUAGAUAAGUAGAAAUGGGUUACAAUAAAAAUAUUUUUGGAUUAGAUUAUGAAAUUAAUUUAUAAAAUAGGAUUUGAAAGUAAUUUUUAAUAAUUUUUAAAAAUGACUUUAGUUCUAAAAUAUGUACAUAUUGCCCGUCGCUUUUGUUUUAAAAUGAAAUAAGUCGUAACAAAGUAGAUUUACUGGAAAGUGAAUCUAGAAUA
rnacentral:rRNA from 1 species